UGGAGAGCAGUACUUAGAGUUAUAUAAACCACUUCCCAGAGAAGGAAAAUUAAAGUGUGAAGCAGUUGUUGCUGAUGUCCUAGAUAAAGGAUCCGGUGUAGUGAUUAUUAUGGAUGUCUAUUCUUAUUCUGAGAAGGAGCUUAUAUGCCACAAUCAGUUCUCUCUCUUUCUUGUUGGCUCUGGAGGCUUUGGUGGAAAACGGACAUCAGACAAAGUCAAGGUAGCUGUAGCCAUACCUAAUAGACCUCCUGAUGCUGUACUUACAGAUACCACCUCUCUUAAUCAGGCUGCUUUGUACCGCCUCAGUGGAGACUGGAAUCCCUUACACAUUGAUCCUAACUUUGCUAGUCUAGCAGGUUUUGAGAAGCCCAUAUUACAUGGAUUAUGUACAUUUGGAUUUUCUGCCAGGCAUGUUUUACAGCAGUUUGCAGAUAAUGAUGUAUCAAGAU
rnacentral:sRNA from 1 species